AAUUUUCGGCAAUGGGCGAAAGCCUGACCGAGCAACGCCGCGUGAACGAAGAAGGUCUUCGGAUUGUAAACCUCUUUUGCCGGGGAGCAACGGGGUCCUUGCGAGGGCCCAAUGAGAGUACCCGGAGAAAAAGCAUCGGCUAACUCCGUGCCAGCAGCCGCGGUAAUACGGAGGAUGCGAGCGUUAUCCGGAUUUAUUGGGUUUAAAGGGUGCGUAGGCGGGCUGUUAAGUCAGCGGUCAAAUGUCGGGGCUCAACCCCGGCCUGCCGUUGAAACUGGCGGCCUCGAGUGGGCGAGAAGUAUGCGGAAUGCGUGGUGUAGCGGUGAAAUGCAUAGAUAUCACGCAGAACUCCGAUGGCGAAGGCAGCCUGCUGGACUGUAACUGACGCUGAUGCUCGAAAGUGUGGGUAUCAAACAG
rnacentral:rRNA from 1 species